UCUCUUCUCUUCCCUGCUGCCCCUCCCUCUUUUAGAGCCCGAGGGCGAGCCAGGCACGAGGGGACGCCCGACUCAGCGGCGGAGAAGGAGGAGAAGGAGAGGAAGAAGAGGAGGAAGAAGAGGAAGAGGAGGCGAGGGAGAAACAGCAGAAGCCCCCGCCCAGCCCAUCCCAGUCCAUCCCAGUCCAUCUCCGCCUUCACGCCUCGUUGGGAAGGAAGUGAACAUGGAAAGGACCCUCGUCUUCCUUUGGUCCCUGCUGGUCCCAGUGAUGCUGGCGGAUGUUGCCGACCAAGAAAAGGAGAAGGACCCCUUCAACUAUGACUACCAGACCCUCCGGAUCGGUGGCUUGGUCUUUGCCGUGGUCUUCUUCACCGUCGGGAUCCUGCUCAUCCUGAGCAGGCGGUGUAAGUGCAGCUUCAACCAAAAGCCAAGGGCUCCCGGAGAUGCAGAGGCACCAGGGGAAAAUCUGAUUGCCUCCAAUGCAACCGGAGCACAAAAAGCUGAGAACUGAACACAAGCCAUGAGACCCAGAGACCCAGGGCGGCCCCAUAACAGCCUCUGCUUCUGUCCUCUCCCCAUCCAGACCCAGAGACGGACUCACGGACCCCUCGCCCCCGAUGCCCCGCCGUGCGGAGGAGAGCGGUGCCGGGGGGCGGGCGGACCGCUCUCUGCCUCGCAUCGCCCACCUCUCCCAGUGUGCCCCCUCCCCACAGGACAGCGCCCCCUCCCCUCCCCGCGCCAGUGCUGUCCGCCGUGUGAUGUUCAUCCGUGGUGAUCGUGGCCUCCACUUUGCUGUCGUCGUGUGAGUCUGUCGCUCCUUGCCAGCCUUGUGCCCUUGUGACAUGGUGGUGGUGCUGUUGCCUUGGAGGAUUUGGGGAGGGGGGGAUGGAUGGAAGGAAGGAAAGCGAGAAAGACAAGACCCCCCCCCCCCCAGAAGAUGAAAGGUGUGUGUUUUGGAACCUGCGCUUUGCAGGGCCAACACUAAGAGCCCUCCUGGCCAAAUUGGGGCAGGUCUGGGAAGUGGGAGACCCUCCUUCACUAAAGGUGUUUGGGUGGGUCUUGUGCCCCCAGACCCAUGCUCUUCACAUCCAGCUAUUGGCAAUAUCCACCCUUGCUUUGCAAUGUUUUCACAGAGUGCUUUGCAAAACCUCAGUGAGAACAAAGACGCUAUGGUAGGUAUGGGUCAACUUGGGUCCGUCCAGGUGUUUUGGAUUGCAACUCCCACCAUUCCUAACAGCCUCAGGCCCUUUCCUUUUCCUCCCCAGCCGCUUAAGCGGCUGGGGAGGAAAAGAAAGGGGCCUGAGGCUGUUAGGAAUGGUGGGAGUUGCAGUCCAAAACACCUGGAUGAACCCAAGUUGGCCCAGGUGUCAAAGGGAUGACUUCAUGAGUUCUUGGUCGGGCCUGAGGCUGUUAGGAAUGGUGGGAGUUGGAGUCCAAAACACCUGGACGGACCAAGUUGGCCCAUGCCUGCCCUAUUGUAUGGAAGGAAGGAAGGCAGCCCUGCCCCCCCUCCACGCUUUGGCUUUGUGCCCCCUCCCCUUUACGUCACCCCGUGGCCUGUCUGUCGUGUGCUCCUCCUCCUCGUCAUCGUCGUGGUGUGCCGUUGGUGAACAGCCGUUCCGGGGGGCCAGCCGUGCAAAUGUCGUGAGCCUGACCUCCGGCCCUCUUCCGAAGACCCUUCCCUCGUGGCCGAGGACCUCCUCUGCAGUAUUAUUCUUAAUUAUUCUUAUUAUUUGUCUGUGUUGUGUCUCACAGCCCGAGAAGGGGACAAAGAGAAAACAAAGAGAAUAAAAUCUUGUUUCUAUUUCAA